rnacentral:tRNA from 1 species
CGGGCUUUAGCUCAGGCAGUAGAGCGCUCGCUUCGGGAGCGAGAGGCCGCAGGGGCGGAACCUGCAAGCCCGACCA